rnacentral:lncRNA from 1 species
GCCCAGUUAACCUUGCUGUUUAACAGUGUUUUAAACCUCGUAGAACAAGAAGAAAAGUAAUACUUCAAGGCAGAGCACAGUGAGCUAAAGCUCUGACCAUCCUAUGUCACCUGGGGCACAUGUAACACAAUUACUGAAGCUGAUGAUCUAAACAUGAAGAAAAAAAGUGCAGUAACACAGUAAAAAAUACCCAUUAUUCACACAACCGUGUGUAAGGAAAGCACAGAGGAGAAGUUUCUUCUGAUGAUUUAUGGUGUUCAAUAGCAAAAAGGAAUACUUUGUCAAAGAGCAGUCAGUACCAAGGACGUUGCAUGAACUAUUAGACCUAAAGAGUGCCAGCAACAGAAAUUAUGGAACCA